UGAUUUCCUUGGAAGAAAUUGGCAGUGCAAU
rnacentral:piRNA from 1 species